UUGUUUGAUCGCUUUUUAUCAUAGAUUUUAUAGGACUUUUUCUACAUCAAAAUAGGCUCCAUAAUAUCUAUAUGGGAUUUACCCACUAUAAAUAUUACAGAGCC
rnacentral:ncRNA from 1 species